AUUGAACGCUGGCGGCAGGCCUAACACAUGCAAGUCGAGCGAGCGGCGGACGGGUGAGUAAUGUCUGGGAAACUGCCUGAUGGAGGGGGAUAACUACUGGAAACGGUAGCUAAUACCGCAUACCAUCAGAUGUGCCCAGAUGGGAUUAGCUGGUGGGUGGGGUAACGGCUCACCUAGGCGACGAUCCCUAGCUGGGCUGAGCGGAUGACCAGCCACACUGGAACGGGGCCACGUCCCAGACUCCGACGGGAGGCAGCAGUGGGGAAUAUUGCACAAUGGGCGCAAGCCUUAUGCAGCCAUGCCGCGUGUGUGAAGAAGGCCUUCGGGUUGUAAAGCACUUUCAGCGGGGAGGCGUUACCCGCAGAAGAAGCACCGGCUAACUCCGUGCCAGCAGCCGCGGUAAUUC
rnacentral:rRNA from 1 species